UGGGGAAUCUUGCGCAAUGCACGAAAGUGUGACGCAGCAACGCCGCGUGGGGAAGAAGGUCUUCGGAUUGUAAACCCCUCUCAGUUGGGACGAGGGUUGCACGGUGAAUAGCCGGCGUAACUGACGGUACCUUCAGAAGAAGCCCCGGCUAACUACGUGCCAGCAGCCGCGGUAAUACGUAGGGGGCAAGCGUUAUCCGGAAUCAUUGGGCGUAAAGCGCGUGUAGGCGGUUAAGUAAGUCCGCUCUGAAAGCCCAGGGCUCAACCCUGGGAGGCGGGUGGAAACUACUUGACUAGAGUCCGGAAGAGGAGAUUGGAAUUCCUGGUGUAGCGGUGAAAUGCGCAGAUAUCAGGAGGAACACCAACAGCGAAGGCAGAUCUCUGGGACGUGACUGACGCUGAGACGCGAAAGCGUGGGGAGCAAACAGGAUUAGAUACCCUGGUAGUCCACGCCGUAAAACGUGAAAUACUAGGUGUAGGGGGGAUAU
rnacentral:rRNA from 1 species